GCGGCUGUGGCGUAAUUGGUAGCCGCGCUAGACUUAGGAUCUAGUGGAGCAAUCCGUGGGGGUUCGAGUCCCUUCAGCCGCA
rnacentral:tRNA from 4 species